rnacentral:tRNA from 1 species
GUCUCCAUAGUGUAGUGGUUGGCACAUCUGCUUUGCACACAGAAUGUCCUGGUUUCGCGCCCCAGAUGGAGCCA